rnacentral:rRNA from 1 species
AGAGUUUGAUCAUGGCUCAGAAUCAACGCUGGCGGCGUGCCUAACACAUGCAAGUCGAACGCGAAAGCCCCGCAAGGGGUAAGUAGAGUGGCAAACGGGUGAGUAACACGUGGGUGACCUGCCUUCGAGUGGGGGAUAACGUCCCGAAAGGGACGCUAAUACCGCAUGACAUCCUGCGUUUGGAAACGCGGAGAUCAAAGCCUGGGAUCGCAAGACCUGGCGCUUGAAGAGGGGCCCGCGCCUGAUUAGCUAGUUGGUGGGGUAACGGCCUACCAAGGCAACGAUCAGUAUCCGGCCUGAGAGGGCGGACGGACACACUGGGACUGAGACACGGCCCAGACUCCUACGGGAGGCAGCAGUGGGGAAUUGUUCGCAAUGGGCGCAAGCCUGAGACGCAACGCCGCGUGGAGGACGAAGAUCUUCGGGUCGUAAACUCCUGUCGAGCGGGAAGAACGCUUCCCGGGUGAAUAAUCCGGGGAAUUGACGGUACCGCUAAAGGAAGCCCCGGCUAACUCCGUGCCAGCAGCCGCGGUAAUACGGAGGGGGCAAGCGUUGUUCGGAAUUACUGGGCGUAAAGGGCCAGUAGGCGGCCAACUAAGUCGGAUGUGAAAUCCCCAGGCUUAACCUGGGAACUGCAUCCGAUACUGGAUGGCUUGAAUUCGGGAGAGGGAUGCAGAAUUCCAGGUGUAGCGGUGAAAUGCGUAGAUAUCUGGAGGAAUACCGGUGGCGAAGGCGGCAUCCUGGACCGACAUUGACGCUGAACGGCGAAAGCUAGGGGAGCAAACGGGAUUAGAUACCCCGGUAGUCCUAGCCCUAAACGAUGAAUGCUUGGUGUGGCGGGUAUCGAUCCCUGCCGUGCCGAAGCUAACGCAUUAAGCAUUCCGCCUGGGGAGUACGGUCAAUCCCGCGGCCAUGGCGGCCCGGGAGC